rnacentral:sRNA from 1 species
AGUACCCCUGCUUGGGCCUUGCUAGGCUCCGGGCUCGCUUGGACUCGCCUGGACUCACCCUGCCCACUCGGCCUGGCAGGCUGCACUUGGUUUUUGCUACCAGCCUCUGCAGGCAAGACAGAAUGAAACUAGUGAUCGAGAAGAUGGCCUCCCCAAAGGACAUCAUGUGACAGACUCUGAGAAUGAUGAGCCCUUAAAUCUUAAUGCUAGUGACUCUGAAAGUGAGGAGCUUCACAGGCAAAAGGACAGCGACUCUGAAUCUGAGGAACGUGCAGAGCCUCCUGCAAGCGAUUCUGAAAAUGAGGAUGUCAAUCAGCAUGGGAGCGACUCUGAGAGUGAAGAGACCAGGAAAUUACCUGGUAGUGACUCUGAAAAUGAGGAGCUUCUUAAUGGGCAUGCAAGUGACUCAGAAAACGAAGAUGUUGGGAAGCAUCCCGCCAGUGAUUCUGAGAUGGAGGAGCUCCAGAAGAGUCCUGCCAGUGACUCUGAAACAGAAGAUGCUCUAAAACCUCAAAUCAGUGACUCUGAGAGUGAGGAACGCCCAAGGCACCAAGCCAGUGACUCCGA